UCACCGUGUCUCCGAUGCUCUAUAUUAUAGUUGAUCAUGGCUUCAGAGUGUAACGCUGGCGGUAGGCCUAACACAUGCAAGUCGAACGGCAGCACAGGAGAGCUUGCUCUCUGGGUGGCGAGUGGCGGACGGGUGAGGAAUACAUCGGAAUCUACUCUGUCGUGGGGGAUAACGUAGGGAAACUUACGCUAAUACCGCUAUACGACCUACGGGUGAAAGCAGGGUGAUCUUCGGACCUUGCUGCGAUUUGAAUGAGCCGAUGUCGGAUUUAGCUAGUUGGCGGGGUAAAGGCCCACCAAGGCGACGAUCCGUAGCUGGUCUGAUAGGAUGAUCAGCCACUACUGGAACUGAGACACUGGUCCAGUACUCCUACGGGAGUGCAGCAGUGGGGAAUAUUGGACAAUGGGCAACAAGCCUGAUCCANGCCUAUACCGCGUGGGUGAAGAAGNGCCUUUCGGGGGUUGUAGAUGCCCUUUUUGUUGGGAAAGAAAU
rnacentral:rRNA from 1 species